rnacentral:rRNA from 1 species
CUUUACUGUAGCCUGGUAUUGGGUUCGGGCUUUGACUGCGCAGGAUAGGUGGGAGACUAUGAAGCUGCCCUUGUGGGGGCAGUGGAGUCAUCAGUGAGAUACCACUCUGUCAAGGCUAGAAUUCUAACCGUCUGCCGUUGUCCGGCGACGGGACAGUAUCAGGUGGGCAGUUUGACUGGGGCGGUCGCCUCCUAAAUGGUAACGGAGGCGCGCAAAGGUUCCCUCAGGCUGGUUGGAAAUCAGCCGAAGAGUGUAAAGGCAGAAGGGAGCUUGACUGCAAGAGCAACAACUCAAGCAGGGACGAAAGUCGGCCUUAGUGAUCCGACGGCGCUGAGUGGAAGGGCCGUCGCUCAACGGAUAAAAGUUA